CACCAGGCGCGAAAACUUUACAAUGCGGGAAACCGUGAUAAGGGGACACCGAGUGUCAGCAUCAUAUGCUGGCUGUCCAGGUGUGUAAAAUACACCUGUUAGCAAGGGCCGGGCAAGACCGGUGCCAGCCGCCGCGGUAACACCGGCGGCCCGAGUGGUGAUCGUGAUUAUUGGGUCUAAAGGGUCCGUAGCCGGUUUGGUCAGUCCUCCGGGAAAUCUGAUAGCUCAACUAUUAGGCUAUCGGGGGAUACUACCAGACUUGGAACCGGGAGAGGUAAGAGGUACUACAGGGGUAGGAGUGAAAUCUUGUAAUCCCUGUGGGACCACCUGUGGCGAAGGCGUCUUACCAGAACGGGUUCGACGGUGAGGGACGAAAGCUGGGGGCACGAACCGGAUUAGAUACCCGGGUAGUCCCAGCCGUAAACGAUGCUCGCUAGGCGUCAGGCAUGGCGCGACCGUGUCUGGUGCCGCAGGGAAGCCGUGAAGCGAGCCACCUGGGAAGUACGGCCGCAAGGCUGAAACUUAAAGGAAUUGGCGGGGGAGCACAAGGGCGAUUCG
rnacentral:rRNA from 1 species